GACGAACGCUGGCGGCGUGCUUAACACAUGCAAGUCGAACGGUAAGGCCCUGCUUUUGUGGGUUUCUCGAGUGGCGAACGGGUGAGUAUCACGUGAAUGAACUGUCCCUUGUUUUGGGAGAAAACUAGGGAAAUCGGGCUCAAAUCCGGUAUGAGCUCCUGUUGCACGGGUGGGGUUGUAAAAAUGCGGAGGUUGGGGAUGGACGCGUGGCUUAGCAGCUUGUUGGUGGGGAAGUGGCUUAACAAGGCUUUGACGGGUAGCCGGCCUGCGAGUGUGACCGGCCACAGUGGGACUGAGAUACGGCCCAGACUGCUACGGGAGGCAGCAGUGGGGAAUAUUGCACAAUGGGCGGAAGCCUGGUGCAGCAACGCCGCGUGCGGGAUGACGGCUUUCGGGUUGUAAACCGCUUUCGCCUGGGACGAAGCGUGUGUGACGGUAAUGGGUAAAGAAGCACCGGCUAACUACGUG
rnacentral:rRNA from 1 species